rnacentral:rRNA from 1 species
AGAACGAACGCUGGCGGCAUGCCUAAUACAUGCAAGUCGAACGAACUCUUCGGAGUUAGUGGCGCACGGGUGCGUAACGCGUGGGAAUCUGCCCCUUGGUUCGGAAUAACAGUUGGAAACGACUGCUAAUACCGGAUGAUGACGAAAGUCCAAAGAUUUAUCGCCAAGGGAUGAGCCCGCGUAGGAUUAGCUAGUUGGUGAGGUAAAGGCUCACCAAGGCAACGAUCCUUAGCUGGUCUGAGAGGAUGAUCAGCCACACUGGGACUGAGACACGGCCCAGACUCCUACGGGAGGCAGCAGUGGGGAAUUUGGACAAUGGGCGAAAGCCUGAUCCAGCCAUGCCGCGUGCAGGAUGAAGGCCUUCGGGUUGUAAACUGCUUUGUACGGAACGAAAGU